CUCUUCUCUUGCUUCAUUUUUGUUAUCAAAUUCUGUAUCAUAUGUGUUAUCUUGUCAAGAAUAUGCAACGGUGCUUUCUAAUAACUUAAGCAGUGAUUAUUUUAGUUUUUCUACCAAAUACUGAAGAUAAGAUCUUUUGCACCUAUUCUAUCUGUAUUCAGUUUCAUAUGAUUUCCCAUUAAUAUAGAGAAAGAUUAGCCCUAAAAGAUUUCAGCAAUAAGUUUAAUUAGUUUCAUUCUGUACUAAUGGAUAAACCCCAUGCUUCUGUGACAGGGUUCCUUGUUAUUUGAGUUCUAUUAAAGUUUAUGCAUGUUUUCAAAUGUUAGUUAACCUUUUUGGCUUUCUCAAAAUCUUGCCUUUGAUCAACAGUGUUGGACUGUACUAAGACUCCACGGAUUGUGCUUUUACCAAUGUAUUAUUACAGACAGUUAAAAAGUAUUUUUGUUUUUCCAUGAUUCGGGUGGCUGCUAAAUAUAGAACAUUCUGGAAAUUAAGUUGGCUGCGAAACUUGUGCAGCUCUCUUAUAACCAUAUUGUCAGUAUGUCAUUGUAGAAAACAAAUUGUUGUACAAUGAAAAUAUUCUUCAACCAUUUCAAUCACUGAGAUUAUUUAUUAUUUCUCCUUAAUAUCUAUUUUGCUGCCAGGGAUUUUAUGUGGAACAAUAUAAAUGGCAUCAUAUCAAAUGAGAUGGGCAAAUCUGCUUUAAGUUAGAGUUUCGUGGUUCAGACUUGUUGUCAAAUAUUCAUUUUGUUGAUUAAAGCUUUAACUAAUAUUUUCAUAAAGGAUUCUUAAUGCACAAUGAGUAUUGUUUGUACUUUAAGCUGGUGGCAAGCCGUGCUUAAUUUUUUAACUGCAGUUAUAUGAACAACAAUUUCAAUCAGUGGUCAAAUCUAGUGGAGCUUUCAGCAUUAACUGAACUUCAACACUUUUGAGUUUAAUAAUACUUUUCUUCUGUUGUUUUCUUCAAUACAGUUGAAAUUUAGCAUCUUUUAUUUUCUUCCACUAGAAUUUUCUUACAGAUACCUGUGAAGCCAAGAUUAGUUAUAAUCUGUUAUGGACAUGCUGAGGUGUCAUAUGAGCUGGCAUAAGUGAGAUCCUAGUCAAGAGUUAGUUAGUUAGUUAAUCAACUGACUGACUCAUUGCAAGUGGAAACACACGUGAGAAGCUUACAUAUAUAAGUUGUCUCUAAGCUAGUGAUACAUUGAGAGAACGUUUCAAAAAGGACACAGGAGAGGACUGGUCAAAGAUAUCUCACAUUCGUGACAUUCAAAUUGAUCAUGAAUAUGGGCAAGGAUUUGGAUUCGAUAACAGAACCACAGGUAUUUUCUUCUCUUUCUUCUUUAAUAUAUUAGUUAUUUGAAAUUGAAAACCUUAAAAUAGCAAAUUCUGAAUCAAUUUCUGUCACAUGACAUAGUCUGGACUCUGGAAGCGGCUGCAGUUUUUAUUUUAAUUGUUUGAAUCUCUGCUUUCAUCCAAUUAUUUCUAUCAUGAUCUUGAAGAUGUGUAACUAUUUGCAUUAAUAUUAAUUUUUGGUGUUCACAACAAAAUACCUUACAACAAUGUUAGUUUGUUUGGUAUAUUAUUGUUCUGUUAAGUGAAAGAGUUUAUGCUAUCUAAGUCCUAGCCUAGUUGCAUGUGUAGGGUUUUGGGUUCAAUUUUCAUUCGUGUAGGGUUUUGUUUUCAAUUUUCAUUCAUGGCUAUAAAAGAGUUGAAAAUGUACAGAGUACUUCAUCUUCAAGAUCCAAAUUUGAAGUUCUACUUUACUGUCAUUGCAACACUUUUGUAGGUACGAGCAGAAGUAUCCAAGUGUUAAAAAGAUAGUCUUCAUAAGAAAAAUGUUUUUGCAGGUACUCUCUUCUCUUGCUUCAUUUUUGUUAUCAAAUUCUGUAUCAUAUGUGUUAUCUUGUCAAGAAUAUGCAACGGUGCUUUCUAAUAACUUAAGCAGUGAUUAUUUUAGUUUUUCUACCAAAUACUGAAGAUAAGAUCUUUUGCACCUAUUCUAUCUGUAUUCAGUUUCAUAUGAUUUCCCAUUAAUAUAGAGAAAGAUUAGCCCUAAAAGAUUUCAGCAAUAAGUUUAAUUAGUUUCAUUCUGUACUAAUGGAUAAACCCCAUGCUUCUGUGACAGGGUUCCUU
rnacentral:lncRNA from 1 species